rnacentral:rRNA from 1 species
CGUAGGGUGCGAGCGUUAAUCGGAAUUACUGGGCGUAAAGUGUGCGCAGGCGGCGCUGCAAGUCGAGUGUGAAAUCCCCGAGCUUAACUUGGGAAUUGCGCUCGAAACUACGGCGCUGGAGUAUGGCAGAGGAAGGUGGAAUUCCACGUGUAGCGGUGAAAUGCGUAGAGAUGUGGAGGAACACCGAUGGCGAAGGCAGCCUUCUGGGCCAAUACUGACGCUCAUGCACGAAAGCGUGGGGAGCAAACAGGAUUAGAUACCCUGGUAGUCCACGCCCUAAACGAUGAUGACUAGUUGUUGGUGGAGUUAAAUCCUUUAGUAACGCAGCUAACGCGUGAAGUCAUCCGCCUGGGGAGUACGGUCGCAAGAUUA